UACGGAGGAUCCAAGCGUUAUCCGGAAUCAUUGGGUUUAAAGGGUCCGUAGGCGGUUUAGUAAGUCAGUGGUGAAAGCCCAUCGCUCAACGGUGGAACGGCCAUUGAUACUGCUAGACUUGAAUUAUUAGGAAGUAACUAGAAUAUGUAGUGUAGCGGUGAAAUGCUUAGAGAUUACAUGGAAUACCAAUUGCGAAGGCAGGUUACUACUAAUGGAUUGACGCUGAUGGACGAAAGCGUGGUAGCGAACAGG
rnacentral:rRNA from 1 species